rnacentral:miRNA from 1 species
AAGGUUGUGACUACAGCGUACG